rnacentral:rRNA from 1 species
GCAUAUCAAUAAGCGGAGGAAAAGAAACCAACAGGGAUUGCCCUAGUAACGGCGAGUGAAGCGGCAACAGCUCAAAUUUGAAAUCUGGCUUCGGCCCGAGUUGUAAUUUGCAGAGGAAGCUUUAGGCGCGGCACUUUCUGAGUCCCCUGGAACGGGGCGCCAUAGAGGGUGAGAGCCCCGUAUAGUUAGAUGCCUAGCCUGUGUAAAGCUCCUUCGACGAGUCGAGUAGUUUGGGAAUGCUGCUCAAAAUGGGAGGUAAAUUUCUUCUAAAGCUAAAUACCGGCCAGAGACCGAUAGCGCACAAGUAGAGUGAUCGAAAGAUGAAAAGCACUUUGAAAAGAGGGUUAAAUAGCACGUGAAAUUGUUGAAAGGGAAGCGCUUGUGACCAGACUUGCGCCGGGCAGAUCAUCCGGUGUUCUCACCGGUGCACUCUGCCCGGCUCAGGCCAGCAUCGGUUCUCGCGGGGGGAUAAAGGCCCUGGGAACGUAGCUCCUCCGGGAGUGUUAUAGCCCGGGGCGUAAUGCCCUCGCGGGGACCGAGGUUCGCGCAUCUGCAAGGAUGCUGGCGUAAUGGUCAUCAGCGACCCGUCUUGAAACACGGACC